AUUGAACGCUGGCGGCAUGCCUUACACAUGCAAGUCGAACGGCAGCACGGGAGCAAUCCUGGUGGCGAGUGGCGAACGGGUGAGUAAUACAUCGGAACGUGCCCAGUCGGGGGGGAUAACGCAGCGAAAGCUGUGCUAAUACCGCAUACGAUCUACGGAGGAAAGCAGGGGACCGCAAGGCCGUGCGCGAAGGGAGCGGCCGGGGGCAGAUUAGGUAGGUGGUGGGGGAAAGGCUCACCAAGCCAACGAUAUGUAGCUGGUAUGAGAGGACGACCAGGCACACUGGGACUGAGACACGGCCACGACUCCUACGGGAGGCAGCAGUGGGGAAUUUUGGACAAUGGGGGCAAGACUGAUCCAGCCAUGCCGCGUGCAGGAUGAAGGCCUUCGGGUUGUAAAAUGCUUUUGUACGGAACGAAACGGCCUUUUCUAAUAAAGAGGGCUAAUGACGGUACCGUAAGAAUAAGCACCGGCUAACUACGUG
rnacentral:rRNA from 1 species